GCCCCCCUCAAGAUGAGAUUUCCCAACUUCGGUUAUAAGAUCCCUCGAAGAUGACGAGGUUAAUAGGUUCUAGGUGGAAGCGUGGUGACACGUGGAGCUGACGAAUACUAAUCGAUCGAAGACUUAAUCAAU
rnacentral:rRNA from 1 species